rnacentral:tRNA from 1 species
GUCGCCGUAGCUCAGCCGGUCAGAGCGCCGAUCUGAUAAGUCGGAGGCCGGUGGUUCGAACCCACCCGGCGACA